rnacentral:lncRNA from 1 species
AACUCUUUGAUGAAAUCAAAUUUAUCUAUGUUUCUUUGGUUACUUGAAUUAUAGGUACUAACUUCUUAAACCUUUCUAACAAUCAUGAUGGUGAUUAGCAUCCCCAUUUUUCAGAUGAGAAACUGAGGCAAAUAAAGGCUAAGUACCUACCUCACCCAGAGCAAUGAUCUGAACUCAGGAUCCACACUGCAGGACCCCAGGUGGGAACCAUUCACAGUUCUUGUACUGACCUUUUUUUUAUUUUAAUUUUUAGACAGGGUCUCACUAUGUCACCUAUGCUGGCCUCAAACUCUUGAUCUUCCUGCCUCAGCCUCCAGAGUGCUGGGAUUACAAGUGUGGGCCACCACACCUAUCUUUGCUUAUGCACAUUAAUCUGAAGGAUCCACACUUGGUGGGGACUGGGAAGUGGGCAUUUCCAUGGCAGCUUCCUCAGUGGUCUAAAGCAGUGCUCGACUGUGCUCAACAUCAAGAGAGGAGGACAGAGGGCAAGUGAGAAGAUGACAACAACAUCCCAGUAUGAAGGAGGAGAACCCAAGAAACAAUCAGACACACCCGGAAUGUUGACAUUCACAGACCAGUAGUCUUGCCGCUGAAAAACUCCAUGAUGGUUUCAUAACUACCUCGUUCCUAGAUCAAAUCCCCUCCUGCUUCAGAUACCUAAAGGGAACUUGGUUUUGCUGACCACAUCCACCUCAGGACCUCACUGCAGAGUGAGGAGGCCUCUCUCAAGAAGGCAACUCCCUACAGAAAGAGUUCCACUGAAGAACAAAAUAAACAAUGGAAAACGUGGAGACAGAGCUUUACAUAAGCGGGCAGAGGACCAAGAGAUGACGGGGGCAGGGAGAUGUAGCAAGAACGAAGAUGCGUGGUGUGUGUGCCACAAUGAGUGUAAUCAGCAUGCACUGUAAACAUGUA